CUUAGUUUGAUUUUGUGAAAUCUCCGAAUUAACACUUAGGCGUGUACCCCGGUUCACUAACUCGGAGCACAACAAGAAUCCGCCUUUUUAGCGUCUGAAUUUAGCGUCCGACGAUAUAAGCGGACGGUUAAAUUAAAAUUAGCGUCCGAUAAACGACAGAUGCAAAUUAGCGUCCGCUUUUUGAUAUUUAGCGUCCAUUAUUUUUAACUGACGCUAAUUAGCGUCUGUAUAGUUAAAAUACCAUCCGAAUGACGGACGCUAAAUACGAGGUAUAAAUAAAAAAAAAACCUCUAGUCGACCAAAAUAUCAACCCCAACCCGCGCCUCUCUCUCCCUCACUCUCAUCUCACGUUUCUCUCUCUUCCUCACUCUCAUCUCACAUUUUGGUGCUCUCUCUUUCUUUCCGAUCUCACGAAAUCAGUUGCUGUAGAUAACUCUAGAAUUAGAGCCAUUGAUGUUUUCAACGAUCGAGUAGCCAGAGAUGCUAGAAUGUCAAGCAAUGCUUCUGAUGAUGAUAGGCCAUUGUCAUCCUGGUUUGAAGGAGCACACUCUCCUCCCACAACUGAUGCAAAUAUCUUUCGUCCUUUUAUAGGUUUUAAAGAUAUCAGAGUCAUACACAAGGAACCAAGACGGGUAAGGUUUCCUUCUUUUCAUCAGAAAAACUCUUUAUAUGAACAUAUCUGAAUAUAGGCACUUACAAAUUUGAUAUUGGUUUUAAAGUUUCUUAAGGUGAUAUUAUGAACAAGCAUGGCUAUAAUGAAGAAGUUAUUGAUAAGUGCAAAGGCUUAUACCUUCCUUUCAUCUGG